ensembl:misc_RNA 7SK 7SK RNA
GGAUGUGAGUGUGAUGUGGCUGUGAUGCCUGUUAGCACACUGAUUGUCACAGUUGAAUCCACAAUUUGACUGACUAUGUAGGUGCACCACCCGCCAUACCCAACAUCCUAUGUGUGUGUCCCUCGAGAAGUUUCCUGUUGGUUGAAGAGAACAACCCUCCCUGAUAGAGACCAUUCUUUGGUCAAGGGUAUACAAGUAGCCAUACUCCCUAGUAAGAGCCUCCAAACAAGCCCUCAAGGUCCAUGUGUAGGUCACAGGAAGGUAAGCUUCCAAGACUCCAGACACAGCCAUGUGAGGCACUUCAGGCAACACUCUACUGUUCUU